AUGGACCUGAGCAAGGUGGUCCGAGAGCCGUCUGUGGAAGUGAUCCUGACUAACUUUCUGGGAACCUCUGGGGCUGUGGUGGCAUGCUCCCUGGUGCUGCUCUGGCAGAGGCAAGGAGCCAAGAAAAACUCAUCCAUCCCAUGUAACGACAAAGCCAGGCCAGGGCUCUUCACUGGGCUGGGCUCGUGCUCAAGGAUGAGGCACUCGCGGUGUCACUGGGGCUGUCCCACCAGGGCUCAGCGCUCGUCGAUGCCCCGUCUCCCCAGCUGUGAGUUCUGCCUUCUCCUUCAGUGUAGGAAGGGAAAGUGAGGUCCUUGUUUAAUUCUAUUAAUUAAUCUCCCGCAUCAGCUCUUUGUUUCCAUUGAGUCAUACUAAAGGAAUGCAAAAGCGAUGCGAAAAGGUGAUCACUUCCAGGCAGCUGGCGUUCUUGAAAAGACAAAAUGGGGACAGUCUGACAAGUUAUUCAUAAGAAAUAAUUAUCUUUAAUAAGCCCUGAUCAAGUGUUUGUACCUGCCAAUGUGCAUCUGUGCUUGGGAAAUGAUCUGCUCAGAGCCUCCCUCCAGGAACACGAGCCCUCAGUGCAGGGGCCAGGCCCAGCUUCCAUCUCCUUCAGACGAAGCGAUCAGCCCCGUUCUUCUGUGGCAUGACCAGCUUUGAUUAGAAGCACCUGAAGCACUGCUUCGCUGCCUCUGACACCGUGUGUCUCUGAAUACACGGCACCGUGCUGCUUACAUCAGCUGCUGCUUGUGGUGGCAGACGAGUGCAUGUGUUUUCACAUCGGGCUUGAAGCAGGAACUUCUACGUAUGAGCUGUGUAAGAGGUGCAAGAAGACCAUUUCUACUUAAAACUGACUGGCAAAAAUAAAUUAUGCAUAUACUUCA
rnacentral:lncRNA from 1 species